rnacentral:lncRNA from 1 species
UUGAAUAGAAAAGAGUGGGACAAAUCUAAAAGCCCCUGGCCCAAUAAGUUAAGUAAAUGUCAGCUUUCGUAUCUCAAGAACACCGAGAUCAGAUAUUUUGUGGUGUUUAUUUGAUGUUCCUUUUUUUAGGUAGCACUUGGAUGCCAUAAAGUAAGUUGUUUGUAAUAAUUAAAUAAAAGGAAGGCUUUAAGAUGACCGUAGGAUGCAUGCGAG